UAUGAUAGGAAAAAAUCCAGUAGAAAUUCCUACAGCUGAAAAUUUGAUAGGAGAUAGUUCAGUAAUAGCAGAAAAUUUGGAGGAUGUAAU